rnacentral:rRNA from 1 species
UACGAAGGGGGCUAGCGUUGCUCGGAAUCACUGGGCGUAAAGGGUGCGUAGGCGGGUCUUUAAGUCAGGGGUGAAAUCCUGGAGCUCAACUCCAGAACUGCCUUUGAUACUGAGGAUCUUGAGUUCGGGAGAGGUGAGUGGAACUGCGAGUGUAGAGGUGAAAUUCGUAGAUAUUCGGAAGAACACCAGUGGCGAAGGCGGCUCACUGGCCCGGUACUGACGCUGAGGUGCGAAAGCGUGGGGAGCGAACAGG